CCAGGUCCUCAGGUCAGGACAAGUCUUCCCAGGCGCGUGCGGCUCCGUGGCUCAAGGGCGCCACCUGAAGGCCGAAAGGAAGCUAUUGACGAACCUCCCUCCUCCCCCUUUCCUGCUCUUUCUCGGUGGGACCCUGGGGUGCACAGCCCAAGGACCCAGAUUAAGGGGAAUCGAGUAAGGGGUCCAGAACACAGAAGUGAAGGGGACACUGGAUUCCUGGAGGCCCAGGACAAGGCUGGAGACGAGGUCGGUCUGAAGAUCAGGGGUCACCAGGAAGACUUGGAGGACACUCUGCUGCUGGCCUCCCCAGAGCACACUCCCCAGUGUCCUUCCAGUCUUUGGUCAGAUGUCACCUUCUCUGAGACACCUUCCCAGGCCAUCCUUUUAAAACAAGCAGUGCCCGGAGCGGGGGGCCUGGGUGAUUUAGCUGGUUGAGCUUCUGACUCUUGA